GGCUCACCAAGGCGACGAUCCGUAACUGGUCUGAGAGGAUGAUCAGUCACACUGGAACUGAGACACGGUCCAGACUCCUACGGGAGGCAGCAGUGGGGAAUAUUGGACAAUGGGCGAAAGCCUGAUCCAGCCAUGCCGCGUGUGUGAAGAAGGUCUUCGGAUUGUAAAGCACUUUAAGUUGGGAGGAAGGGCAGUUACCUAAUACGUGAUUGUUUUGACGUUACCGACAGAAUAAGCACCGGCUAACUCUGUGCCAGCAGCCGCGGUAAUACAGAGGGUGCAAGCGUUAAUCGGAAUUACUGGGCGUAAAGCGCGCGUAGGUGGUUUGUUAAGUUGGAUGUGAAAUCCCCGGGCUCAACCUGGGAACUGCAUUCAAAACUGACUGACUAGAGUAUGGUAGAGGGUGGUGGAAUUUCCUGUGUAGCGGUGAAAUGCGUAGAUAUAGGAAGGAACACCAGUGGCGAAGGCGACCACCUGGACUGAUACUGACACUGAGGUGCGAAAGCGUGGGGAGCAAACAGG
rnacentral:rRNA from 1 species